AAAAGAAGAAGAAUCGAACAGCUGUGGCGAAAUUGAAAGCUUUGUUUACAAAGUGCAUAAUAAAUCGCGUUUUUACGGAAUUAUUUAAUUUUAAAGGCUACUUUUCCGGCAGCCCCAACAAACGCUGGUCCAAACCUGCAAAUUGUUGCCAGCAACUGACCCGCUGGCUGCCCACUGGCAUUUGUUCAACUACUCAAAAAUGCACUUUGUAAACAAACCUUUUGGGUGUUGGCCACAUAAAGCGGCUCUUCUGGAUGAAAUGAAAAGGCUGUUAGUUUGAACAUCAGUUCAAAGAAAAGUCAAAUGAGUUGGAAAUGGCCCAGCUUAUCAUACGCCAGUUGUCGGAUAAGGCCAAUGUAAACCAAGGCGGCAAUCGUAUAGAGACCUUGACGCAGACGCAAUUUUUGUACGAGCAACAGAUUAGAGACUUACAAGCUAUGGUGCAACAAUUGACGUAUGCCAAAGAAAGGAAUUUAUGAUGGUCACAAAUAUAUUGGCAAAAACAUAGCAAGUGCAUAUGCAAAGUUGGAAAAAUUGACAAUGCUGGCCAAAAAGAAGAGUCUUUUUGAUAUCGACUGCAAGAGAUUCAAUAAUUGACUUACAUCAUGGUGUAUGCGUUACAAUCUAAAUUAGCCAGCAUGGGCACCGACUUCAAACAGAUAUUAGAAGUGCGUAUAAAAAAUCUCAAACAACAAAAAGCUCAUCGGGAUCAAUUCGGGCAGUCACCAAUUGCUGCUUAUUUUCUGGAUCAUAUGAAAUCACAAAAGAACUAAGGUGGCACUUAGUUUUGAUGUCAGCCGGUGAAAAAUACCAGUGGGGUGCCAUGAAACAAGAUGAUACUCAAGCGGAGCCAAUAAGACCGAUAGAAUACCCAUCGAAGUUUCCGAGGCGUUAAGUGCUCCAAACAAAGACUGCGAUGUUGACAUUGUGGAAGAAUCAACAUCUGUACAAAUAUGGGGACAACAGCAACGCAUCUCGUUUACUUGAUUGAGAAAAGUUCACUCGGUUUCCUCAGAAGUGUGCAGCGUAUAUAAACGGGGUUCAUUACUUUGAAUUUAUCGGAAAUCCUACACUGAAAAAACAUUAAUCAUAGCAUGUUGAUUUUCCGGAAAAUGUAAAGCGAUUUGGUUUCAAGCUCCACAUUUUUUCUUCGUUGACGCCACCUAAAUACAGGUCAUAUAAAGCGACUUUCUGAUAUGGUAAAAAAAAUUUAGUAUCCUUUUAUUUUGGUAUUGGACAUACCAAUUUUGGGACCCCAAGGAUAUUUACUUUUGAUUAUGGACACUGUAAGAAAAAUUAAUAGAAUUAAUAAUACAUAAGUAUUUUGAAAUAAUAUCAAGUUCGGUUGACUAAAUGCCUAAGAUUUUUGCACACGCUUAUGGAGUUCUGCUAGCGCUGCCCAUGCUUGUUUUAAACCCUUGCAUUGACAUUUAAAUAAUACAAAAAAAUUUUAUGUGGACAUACAUUUUUUACCAAAGCAUACUCAAAGGUUAUCUUACUCACGAACUAGGGGACUCCGUUUUACCAUUGCCUACGGCCUUAAAGAACAACAUAAACAGCUGGCCAUCAUGGCGCAUUGUACCCUUCGACAGUCACGUCUACAGUCUGGUCUACGUAACCGGAUCGACCCAGAUUUAUAUCUUGCCAAAGACUGUCACUCCAGCAACACUCCCCAAAAACCAGUUGGGGAACUUGUAUGCUGCUACAACAACAGUCACAGCAUAAUAGCCGUAGUGGCAAACAUUCGAUAAUUACAAUUAUAGUGUAGGAAAGAAAUAAUAGGCCAAUUUAUUAUAAAUUUAGACAUUGAUUCUAUUGUCUGCUAUAUACCGUACCAAUAGUGUUGGUUGUUGCUUCAGUCUCUACAUUGUGCUGUGUCCAGAGAAUCUUUAUAAACUCUUUGUCACGUAAAAUUAUCUCGUCCUUGAACAUCUUUGUGUAUAACAUUGAUAGUUGGGCUUAUGAAACCAUAUAAAAAUUCAACACCAGGAACAUUCAACUCUUCCAUGCUAAAAAAAUCAUUACAUAUAUACUAUUCUACUCGACCCCGUUUUAAAGGAAUCAGGGACUUGCCGUCGCCUUCGGUCGCCUUCAGUUCGUUUUCCUCUUUAUCCAAAGAGAUUAUGGUGAUCCUAAACAUUGCCACACGCUUUUGAUAUUAUACUGCUUGCCCUAAUUUUCUUUUGGAACUCAGCAGCAGCCUUUUUUCGCAUACGGUUUGGACACAUUGCUGCAUAAAAGCAUCACAAUUUUUGCUGGACUUUAACAAAUUGUGAAAACCUUAGAAUAAAUUGUAUAGCUAAAAAUAGUGUCGGACACACAACAUUUCAAGUUGAUAAAAACGUUGCAAAAUAAAAUUGAGCAUUUCCUGACUGUUGCUGAACAACGUUCAAAACUACAAAAUAAUGAAAAGGUAUUAGUCAGUAAUCUAGUAGAGGUUGUAUGGCGUUGAAAUGUACUUUUAAAUGUUUUUAAAUUCACUGUUGAAUUUCUUAUACUCACAUUUCUUGCUUGGCGUGCAAAUUUGCUUGCUUUUUUAAUUGUCAUACUUUGUUUACAUACCUGUUUAAGGUGUUCCAGCAACAAAAACUACACGCAAAUAUGUAUUGCAUUCGCUCUACUACUGCUACCGGGGAACUUGUUAUGAGUUCUGUGCAGUGAGAGUUUAAGAGAACACCUUUGAAUCUCUUAUAAUUAGUGUGGUGAGUAACUUUUAGAAGAGAUAAGCAUUAAUAGAACUGGUUUUAGAGCAACUGCAUUCUUGAAUAAACAGACAAGUUUGUGGGCUUUCUCGCAUGUUCUUCAAAAGCAUAUUAAUUUAAAAGCUCUCAAUAUUUUUGUUAUUCGUUGCAAAAAACCACAUUAAUGUGUGCAUUCUUCGUACACUCCUUAACGUGUGCUUAAAAAACGUUUUAUUUCUGCUCUGACAAAUUACUCAUUUUGACUAAAGGUGUUUUCGUUUCUACCUUUUUUUGCCCCUUCCUCCUUUCGUGUUCAAAUCUAAAAUAAAGGCAAACUGUGUGAAGAUUUUGUAUUCGUUUCUCAAAAUGUCACACUCUUGUAAGGCAAAAAGGCACAUUCUCUGCUCUUUGAAGCUUUGUUGCCCUGAAAAUGAGAUGGUUGCUUAAAACGACAAUAUUCCGGCAGAAACGAAAUCAUCAUUAAUACACUUUUGAAGAACAUGCUCACUAUGUACAUUAGACUGUGACAAUAAAAAUAAAAUGAGCAUUUUUUUCGGUUCCAUGUGAAUAUAUCAUUGUGUGUCACAAAAAACGAACUAAUUACUAACUAAUUAAAAAAAAUUCCAAUUUUGAAUAAAAAAAAUAUG
rnacentral:lncRNA from 1 species